GUGGGGAAUCUUGCGCAAUGGGCGAAAGCCUGACGCAGCCAUGCCGCGUGAAUGAUGAAGGUCUUGGGAUUGUAAAAUUCUUUCACCGGGGACGAUAAUGACGGUACCCGGAGAAGAAGCUCCGGCUAACUUCGUGCCAGCAGCCGCGGUAAUACGAAGGGGGCUAGCGUUGCUCGGAAUUACUGGGCGUAAAGGGCGCGUAGGCGGACAGCUUAGUCAGAGGUGAAAGCCCAGGGCUCAACCUUGGAAUUGCCUUUGAUACUGGCUGUCUUGAGUUUGGGAGAGGUGAGUGGAACUCCGAGUGUAGAGGUGAAAUUCGUAGAUAUUCGGAAGAACACCAGUGGCGAAGGCGACUCACUGGCCCAAUACUGACGCUGAGGCGCGAAAGCGUGGGGAGCAAACAGGAUUAGAUACCCUUGUAGUCC
rnacentral:rRNA from 1 species